GGGCGCGCUGGGCCGGGAACGGGAUCGCCGGCUGCCUUUCGACGAGGUGGGUCUGCUUCGCGACGCCCGGUUCGGUGCCCUGCGCGUCCC
rnacentral:tRNA from 1 species